GCGGCGGCACAGGGCAACGGUCAUUAGCAGCGAGGCCCUGGGGUCACCCGGCGCUGACACCGGGGCGCAGACCCAGCGGGCCCAGCUGGAGGAGCCCCGGAGCAGAGCCGCCAGCCCAGCCCAGGGGGCACCGUCGCACCGUGCGCCGUCCCUGUCACCAGAUGAGAUGCUACCAGACAGGGUUCACUCUGGGGGAGCAGCUGUGAGGACUUGAACUCAGGAGCCUUCUGGUCCAGGGGGAUCUUGACCUGAGCGUGCCCAGACCACCCCCAAACCAGUCUCUGGAGAUGGAGUCAGCCUUCCAUCGGUUUUGGUAAAGCUCCACAGGCUCCAAGCUUCUAGAGCACCUAGAAGGUUCUAGGAAACUUGCCAGAAGGAAGGAGCAUGCAGGGCUUUGUGACGUCUCCCAGUGAUUUGGAUCUGCACUCACACACCAUCUGAGAAGGAUGCAACUCUUAUUUAUACCUCCCUAAAACUGCCUUAUGUUGUGGAGCCUGUGGAGUUUGUGUCAAAUGUUUUGAGCCAUUGUUUGUAGGGGCUAUAAUGUAGGAGUGGGAUCAUGAGAUGAAAAUUGGGGUCAAAAGGU